rnacentral:lncRNA from 1 species
CAUCUUGGUGAUGUGUUUCAUCUUCAGGACCUGAGACCCAUCUGGUCAAAUAUUUGUGUGUAUAUGGAAAAUUUUAGGUCAUUUGUUAAAAGGAACUCAUGAAUACAUGUCCUUGACUUCCCAGAGAUGGAAAAAACACUUCUCUCCGCCAAAGAACUUCCAAAUAGUGCUUCUAGCCUAUGCUCCUCAUCAGUGUCCAUGUCUCUCGGAUGUCUCUAGUUUUGGUUGAGGAAUGAGGAACUGUGGUUGCCUCCUUUUAUUGGCUGAUUCUUCUGCUGAGCUCCUAACUUCUUAGCUAAUCUAGGUGAAACCAACCCUUGUCCUGGACCCUGGGCUUUUGUGGAGGACUGUCUUACUGUUCACAAAUACUCCACCUUUUCCAUGGGAAGCUAAUUU